CCCUAUGGGGUGCAGCCGGAGUUCGAAGCCAGUCUGGAAAUUGUCAAUCAGACGUUUCUGAAUCUCGGCAUUCCGGCCGAACAGUUGAAAACCAUGACGGAGGAAGCGCGCCGGGAGCUAAACAGGCCGUUGUGCAUUUAGGAUUAUUGUAAUAUACACAAGAAUAUUUUUUCCGGGGGUAUCAUGCAGUGAAAGGAAUCAAUCUCAAGUCGGUCGUACGGAAUGUUUUUGGCUUCAUUAAUUUCAGGAAUAUGAUCCGAUUCGCCCUCUGGGGGCUUUGGUUCAGAAGAAACCGGGUCUUCCUGAUCUUUGAAGGGCGUGAAUAUACCUACGGCGAGGUCUAUCGGCAAUCCCUGCGCUAUGCGCACUUUUUCCGGAGUUUCAGAAAGAAACUGGUCGACAGCGGAAAAUUGAGUAGCGAUAAGAGC
rnacentral:rRNA from 1 species